CACGCAGGCUGAAUUAUAAGUCGGUAGUCAAAGGCGGAGGCUUAACUUCCGUUUAUCUAUCGAAACUGUAAAUCUAGAGUAUGUGAGAGGGAAGUGGAACUCCCGGUGUAGCGGUGAAAUGCGUAGAUAUCGGGAGGAACACCAGUGGCGAAGGCGGCUUCCUGGCACAAUACUGACGCUCAUGUGCGAAAGCUAGGGUAGCGAACG
rnacentral:rRNA from 1 species